AAAGGUGCAAUACCUAGAAGGAUGUGAGGCAGGGAAAAUGUAUGUUUGGAUGGCAUACCUCAGAGGAGGUUAAGUAACCUCCUUUUCUGCUUGUUUCGAAAGACUGUUCACAUAUAUUCAACACUGCAUGGCUAACCAGUAACACUCAGACUUACACCUCCUCAGAGAUGGGCUUCUGAAUCCUUCAUGUGGAAAUUCUGAUUAACUUUGCCACACACUACAUCCCUGGUGGUGCUUCUACAACAACAUGUUUUUUGGUAAUGGAGAGCUUCCAGGUGGCUGCUUGACAAACAUUACACAUUCCCAACAACUGGUACGACUUGAGCUCUGAUGGAUUAUAGUCCAGUGACAAAUGGAAAUACUACGUUUGUGGUCUCCAAAACAGACCUGAUCUGAUCUAUCUUGAAAACAGUUUGUCCAUCUCCAUGGAAAUGGGUGAGACCUUGUGUCUUUCAGCACUAAGACAACCAAACUCUGAAAGGAGUUCACCAGUGUAAAAGGAGUUUACCAGUGUAAAAACAAAAGUCCUUAGCAAUACUGAAAAUGAAAUAAGAAUCUCAGCUUUCAGCAUUCAGUUUGGGUAUGAAAAUGGUUAAUUCCCUGGCAGACUCUACUUUUGAGCAGAAGUCAGAAUGAGCUCACACAAACACCAUCUGUGGAAGGAAUAUUGUACAGAGGAUUUAGAUCAACUGAUGGAGAUUGAAUCUCACAUUAUUUUUCUUCCAGGAGUGUUGAUGGGCAGGUGAAGAGCUCAGAUGAGGAGCUGGUAUCUGUAAAACGCCUGUGCAAUAGUAACAGCCCCUCAACUAAUAGGACUCCAGGGAAGGAACAGAGAAAGAAGCUGCAGUCUCUGCAGAAAAAAACCAAUUAGUGUCACUUCUCUUGAUGCCAAUGAGAAGAUGCCAAGGGACCUAAAAAAUGACAACCAGUCUUCAGUCAAAGACAGUAUGUCCCUUUCCAAUUCAAAACAUUAAAAAGUAUGUAAAAUAUGAGAGGCUAUUAGGGAUCAUCCAUAGCGUCCAAGGAUGCCUUCAAGUAGGUUCCGGCUGUCAAACAAAUCUCUAGUAGAGAAGGGAAUAAAUCCUCCCUUAAGUACACAGGCAGAACAUUAAUGAAGCUAUACAACUGACCACUGAAUCUGUGCUCUUAAGAGAGGUAACAAAGCUUUGCACAUUUGUAGGCAAAGCUUGGUGACUGAGUAGGCAGCUCCUUUGCCCAAACCAUCAUUAUCUCAAAGAGCAGCCCACUUGGAUUUUUUCCUUCCACAAUCAUCACCACAAACAAUGAGAAAAACAAAUGGAAAUCACAAAUAGUCCCUUCAGAGAUAAAUUUGUUCCUCCAGUUGACCACUUAGGGAGUAAGAAAACCACAAAAUUCAGACCACAUACAGAAUUGCUUCACCCACAGAAACUGUCCUGUUCAUUGAGAGUGUGUCUGUAGGACAGAAAAUGUCCUGAAUGUUGUCAUCAACUUCUUUUCUAAGGAAUUGAAGGAAUCUAACAAUACAUUUUAAGGAAUCCCGAAAAGCUCUCUGGCUGUCAAUAAGGCACAAGGCCUCCCCUAAAAAAUAAUGGUGAUGCAAGCUCAACAACAGAACAGUCGAAAGAUAAUCUAAAGGAUGAAUGAGAAGCCUCAGCUUCUACACUAAAAGAAAUAUGGCAAGAAAGAAGGAAGUGAUAUGACAGUCAUCUCUCUCCUAAGGAACCUAUCACUAACAACUCUCCUGCAUGUUGGAAACUCACUGCCAACCACCGCAGCUGGCGUAGAUAACUGCUACUGUACAGGCAUGGACAGAAAUGGCAGCAGCACCUACACCACAAACCUCAGGAGGUUAAAAAGCUAGAUUUUUCAAUCAUUCCUCUUUUAUGAGGCAGGAAGGAAAGAAAGAACCUGUGAAUUGCUGCAAAGAAAACAGCUGUGACAUCCAGAACCACAAACAAGCACAACUGGUGCUGUUAGGCUGUCCUUAAAGAGGCAUAAGUGAAAGAUACAAUUCCACCAAUACCUGCAGCACCCUGCACAAACUAAACAUAAAAUUGCUGUUUAGAAUUCAAAGCCUGUGGACCAGAAAACAGUGAAGCAAGCCCAAGCUCAACUAGUACCAAAUGAAUAAGCAGGGCUUGAGGCUGUGCUGCUUGGAACAGAAGACUGUAAAUAUAAAUAAUGUUUGAUUCUGGUUUUCCCUUGAUGCAGGAGAGCCAGGAAUACUAGUUUCAGUGCCAAAAACUCUGCUUGGAAGUGCUUCAGUCCUCCUCAUGACCUCCUUCAGUCCUUCUCCUAAUGACCUGGGAUUUCUCAGUGCAACUGGACCCCAGAUGAGCUCAGGAACAAGAGCAUCUGCCGCUGGUAUGACAUUCAGGAGUUGGGUGGGGGUCUUCUCUGACACUCUGCUCUGAUGGAGCAUCAUGGUGCAGGCUUAAAGUGUCCAGUUUUCAAUACUUCCAAUAACUUGGGAUGAAAACUAGAAUCACUGCUUGCCUCUAAAGCAAAUUCCCAAAGUUUCAGCUUGGAUUCUCCAAGGCCACAGCACAUGAAGCGCAGACAGGCAGACCACCUGCCCAAGAAGCACAAGCAGUAUAUUUAUGCACUGGCUAAAACGUAAUUAACCACUACAGGGGGCACAAAGGCUCAUCAGUUGUGUGAAUUCUCCCAGAGAGAAAAAUUUUGAUGACCCAAGAUGAGGAAUGCAUAGCAACACACACUAAAACAUCCAGUAAUGACAAAAACUAAGACAAAAUAUGAACAAAAUCUAUGCUGAAGAAAUACCUCUAGUAAUAAAGUGCUCAGCCUCCAAUAGUCAGCUGAGAAGAACAUGUCCUUACUCAUGAACCAGCCAAGAGGGAAUGCACAGUAGAAGUCUGUCUUUUAUAGAUAGGUGUCAAACUUUACCAGUUCUUUAGUCUUCCAUUUUGGUAUACUGGAAACAUGAAUAUAGAUGGAUAAAGACUGCACUACUGCAGUAUGACCAGACCCUUCAGUUAUCUAAAGGCAAAUAACUAAACACCCUCCUUCAACUUCCAAAUUACAUUUUAUUCAGGGUCUUGGGGAUUAUGAGAAACCAAAAGGAAUGUGAAGUUGUACUUAAUGACUGGGCAGAACAGCUUUCACCUAGUUUGGGUACAUAUGUAUAAAUAUGGAACAACAUCAAAAGAACACAAGAACAAAGGUUACAUACAAGCACAGAAAAACAUCCAGACAAACAACAGCAAGGGAAGUAAAUCACCUCACCUGGAUUUAGCAUUCAUACAGGCAGAAACAAAACAAAAUAAAAAGGACAAAAUAACGUUUUUCUUACAAGUGGACAAACUCUCUUCUUUUAACACGUUUUAGUAUUUCCCGUGUUUCUGGUUCCUUCAGAAACAUGAAUAUUGCAUAAAGACAACAUGUAAUAUUGUCCUUCAUAGGAGAACCUGCGUUAAAACAAGUGAAAUGUCCAACAUUUACUUUGAAGAAAAAAAAAAAAAAAAGAUUCUCAGGACAUCAGAGGUCCUUGGGGCAUAAAGAUUACCAUGGUAUAAGGAUAUCUAAGAAAUAAGUCUGUGAUCCCAUAAGAUUGGGUAAUGCAUUCUUCUGAGAAAAUCUGAGAUGUCAGGGGCUUAAUUCUUCAUGAAAAACCCUCAGGACAUUUAGAAUGCCAAACGUAAGUGAAAUAUGGUUUUGAAUCUAUUCCAGCAGAUGCCACCCUCUGACGAGAUAAAGCACUUGCAUCUAAAGAGCAUGAGAUUCAUGGGCUACCUACACUUCAAAACUUUGAUUCCUGUUAGUCAAUAUAUAUGUCUGCACUAAAACACGUAUACAUACCAUAUUGUCAAUAAAUAACUUGAAUCACCCAAUGUGAUUGUAACUAAUAAAACCUGAUAUUCAGUAAACUCUUAAGAAGGGUGGCUUUCAUAAGGCUUACCCACUCAUAGUGUUUAAAAAUGAAAAAAAAUUGGAGAGCAACUGUUGAUAAUUUGAUUUUGGUGGCUACUCAUUAGCAUUCUCCUGAUUAGGAAAGUAGCUGAAAUUAGGCUGUUGUAUUUAGCUAAUGUUAACUUGAAUGUAAUUUCAAUCUUUUUUCCUAGUCUAAACAAGGAUCUCUGAUCUUCUCUGUCUUAAGGGAAGGACUUCUGCCAAGCCAAAGACAAAGAAUCAAGGUUCACAGAUGUGAGAAAUGGGAUGAGCUCCUCUGGGCAAGGCUGCUCCUUUCCUUUUACCUACAUUCCUCUCACAUUCAGCCAGCACUGUCAAACCACACCUUAUGCUGGGAAUCUAGAAAGUAUUACUGCAGACAAAUGAUUUCUGGGGAUAAAAUAAAAGUAUGCGAGAACAAAAACACAGGCAAGGAGAGAGAACUGUGUGUGAAGGAAGCCCAAACAAGAAAUGAAUAAUCCCUGAAAAAGAUGAUGUCUUCUGGGUUACUUCUAUCCUAGGGCAGCUACUCAAACAAAAUAAAGAGCAUGAAGAUUGAGGUACACACAGUUAAAGAUAACAUAACUAAACAGAAAUAAAACUGCACCUUAUUCAGUGCUGGUUUUGGUUUGCAUGUGUGUUAGCCCCAGAUCUCCUCUUACUUCUUAGUCUACUUUCCAAAAAAAGCAAUUUCAACUUACUUCCACCCAAUAGAGAAGUUACAAUUUUGAAGAUGUUAACAGCAAGCACGCACCAAAAGUUUGGAAGCUCAGAUCAGAAUUAUAUUAACGGUCAGAUUUACAAAGUGCAUCUGAAUAGUACCCUUUACACUGUGCAGAUUCCCUAGCAGGUUAUCUAUUAAACAACAGUAACCCUCAGGAGCAGGAGAGUAACAGCACAAGAAACAAAAGCUGGUGUGCUAGCGUCAGUAUUUGAAUAGCACCAAAAAAUAGAAGUACAGACUCAGGUCUAACCACUGGCUGUACAAAUGUGGUAUAGCUACUCUGACAUGAGGCAAGAAGAGUGGUGCAAUGGAAUGAAAUUUCCACAUUAAUGACAUUGUCACUCACCCCCUUAUUCUCUACUGAUUCAAAUCAGUACGGAAUAGAAGGCAGUAGCAAAAGUACUGUCUGUCAUCACAGUUCUGUAUCAAACAGGUCUAGUAAAAUUAUUAUUCUGAAUGGAUUGUUAAUGUGGGUUUUGAUGAUAAUAGUUUGGAAUAUUCAGACUUCUCAGACACUCAACUUCAUUCUGCUUGACAUUCUGUUGAGUAUAUUAAUAGGCAUGAGCAUCAAUGCAGAACACCUUAAAUGGAUCAAAAAAAAAAAAAUCACACGCUCCUAAGGUCUUGUAUGGAAUUAUGAUCCAAACGAGGUAUUUCUAGGGGAGCUCUGGAAGUAUCUCACAGAGCUCCGUCCUUUGACUAAUACUAGUCAUGUCCUGUAUUUGUAAUUAAAGGGGAAAAAACCCAUUCCUUCUUUCUGUAAACUUAAAGAAAAAAAGGAUUAUGAAGAAAGGUUAUCCUGAGGCAGAAAACAGUCUCAGCUUCACAUACAAGAAAAAGACCAGACCCUGAGCUGUUCAUUUCCCUUGGUGGUCAGGGAAAACUCCUUGAUUGUUGAUUGGUGCCAUGAAAAUAUCCCCCAGACAAAGGCUGGGAAAUAAGGGAGAUCAUGUGUUACAAACAAUUAGGAAGCAAGAGAGAACAAAAGGAAGAAAAUCGUUACACCACUGCUUACAUCAUGCUCAUCCAGGAUUUUAAUCCUGGGUGCAGUCUGGUACCUCCAGACAGAGGUGAAAGAGGUUCAGAGAAAUUCAGCAAGGAAGUUCAGAGGUCAAAUGCCUUCCACAAAGGACCACCUGGGUAAGCUGGGACUCUUCAGCAGAGGAGAGACACGGCCUGUGGGCUGCACAGGAAAGGUCUGUGACAUCCUGAAAGAUAGGGAGAGAGCAGGCAGCAGCUGUUCACUCUUCUGCAGCAGAGGAACAAGAGCCUCUGGAUACAGCUAGUGGGAGCAAGAAAAU